UACGGAGGAUGCGAGCGUUAUCCGGAUUUAUUGGGUUUAAAGGGUGCGCAGGCGGAGGUGCAAGUCAGUGGUCAAAUUUCGGGGCUCAACCCCGACAAGCCGUUGAAACUGGCUUGCUAGAGUGGGCGAGAAGUAUGCGGAAUGCGUGGUGUAGCGGUGAAAUGCAUAGAUAUCACGCAGAACUCCGAUUGCGAAGGCAGCGUACCGGCGCCAGACUGACGCUGAGGCACGAAAGCGUGGGGAUCGAACAGG
rnacentral:rRNA from 1 species